UAUGGAGCUUUAACUAAUCAGCCCAAAGAAAAAUAAACCAAACCGCUAAGGAGUAACAACACUCUUCAUGAGCUGACAGUUUCGGUUGGGGUGACCUCGGAGAAUAAAAAAUCCUCCGAGCGAUUUUAAAGACUAGACCUACAAGUCAAAUCGCUCUAUCGCUCAUUGAUCCAAAAAUUUUGAUCAACGGAACAAGUUACCCUA
rnacentral:rRNA from 1 species